rnacentral:rRNA from 1 species
AUGUCCUCUUCUUUCCUAUUAUCUGUUGGAGAGAUGGAAAUUUUUCUCAAGUCCGUUCUUCAAGCUAUCCCCACCUAUGCAAUGACGGUCUUUAAAAUUCCAAAAAACAUUUGUAGAGGAAUUAUUGACGCGAUGUUGCAUUUUUUAUGAGGGGACGAGAAAAACAAGAGGAGGGUGCAUUGGAUGGCUAGGUGGAAAAUGUGUGUCCUAAAUAAUAAAGGAGGGAUGAGCUUUCGUGAUAUUUAUUGUUUCAACCUGGCGAUGCUAGCAAAACCAUUGUCGUGGUUCUAAUUCUGGCAUCCAGACUCCUUAUUUACCACUAUUUUGAGAGUAAAAUCUUUUUCUAUUGACGAUUUACUGAAUGCAAUAUUGAAAAAGGGAUCCUCGUUUACCUGGCAAAGUAUAACUAUCUAA